rnacentral:misc_RNA from 1 species
GAUGAAGAACGCAGCGAAAUGCGAUACUUGGUGUGAAUUGCAGAAUCCCGUGAACCAUCGAGUCUUUGAACGCAAGUUGCGCCCGAAGCCAUCAGGUUGAGGGCACGUCUGCCUGGGCGUCACAUAUCGUUGCCCAAUGCCUAUUGCAGUGCAAUAGGAAUUUCUAGGGCGAAUGAUGGCUUCCCGUGAGCGUUGUUGCCUCGCGGUUGGUUGAAAAUCGAGUCCUUGGUAGGGUGUGCCAAGGUAGAUGGUGGUCGAGUUAGAACGAUACCGAUCAUGUGCAUGCUCCCCAAAUAUGGCCUCUAUGACCCACACGCGUCUUUUGACGCUCAUGACGAGACCUCACGUCAGGCGGGGCUACCCGCUGAAUUUAAGCAUAUCAAUAAGCGGAGGA